AGAGGAAAGGAAGAAGGAGAAAGAAGAAGAAGGGAAAGGAGGGAGGAAGAGGGAGUGAGAGCAAAUCUUAACCGAUUGGAGUGAUUCAAAAGCCUAAAUCACUCUAAAUCUUCCCCUCUUUCAUAAUCCUAGCUUUGUUUUGAGUGGGGAGCAUUGUGGAGAGAUAUUACCUCUCAAAAAUUCGGCCCUUUGGUGAAAAUUGGGGUUUUGAGAGUUUCUACCUCCAUUGAAGCUUGAGGAGCCAUCAAUCCUUGGUUGUGUGACCAUUGGUGGAUUGAGACAUUUGGACCAACCGUGAGUGAUCAACCAUUGGAGCAAGCUAUGGAGCUUGAAUAGCUCAUUGGAAUUGGUGUAUGUUUGUAAAAGUUGAUUGCUGAAACUGUUGGUGAAGAACAAAGGUUGACUGAAGCAUUGAGGUAAGCCUUCGGACCUUGGGUGUAAUUCCCUUGACUGUUCUACCAAGCCCUGAAAGGGUAGAGGUUGUGAUUGUGUAUAUAAAUGCAAUAAAAUAGUGUAAUGCUUUGUUAUACGUAUGUGUAUGCAUUUGGUGUGGCAUAGGAUGGUGUUUCCCUAUGUGGGUAUGUUGCAUGACGAUGCGUAAAUCAUACAUGGUAGUUAGCUGGCCAGUAGGACUAUUUGCAUCUGAGUUUCCUUAGGACAGCUUGAGAGCUCGAGGGAUUUCUCCUGGAGAUGUAUUGCACUUUGCAUAGAUAUGUAUUUACUGCAUUAUUAUUGUUAUUGCUAUUACACUGAUAUGGAACUGUGGGGUGGAGAGAUGCUCCAAGGACCCCUGGUUUACUGGAUAUAUUCGUAUAUCUCACCCCGUGUUGUGGGGACCCCCUUUCAGGUAAGGAUGCUGCAGGAGCCUCUGGUGGCAAGUGGCCAUAUCUGGAUUAUGCAUGAAAUAUGGCAUUUCUUUGAGUUUAUGCAUGCCUUUUGUAGUUGACAUGUAUGGGAUUUUAUUUUGAAAGCCCAUGGUCAUUUGUAUAUCUUGAUUCAUUGGAUGAACUUAGCCUAUGCUCAUGCCUUUGGUUACACCUUUUGUUGAUGGGAGCCAAGGGAAUGAUCAUAGUGUUUUGUAAGCUAAGUUCUAUGAUUUGUAAAGGAUAUGUAAU